GGCUUUGCGCCUGUGAGUGUGAUUCAAGAACGUCCCAGUGCCCUUGGCUCUUUUCGGAGUGUGACCCCGGGCUUGCACGGGACACGUUACCCAGCUCGGGUGAGAAGGGUAUCUUCCGGGACCCUCGCCUUUAAUAGCACAACGAGCGCAGAGUCCACUGGAUCUGCGAGAAGAAACCGCGCUAACUAGUUUGUCCCUACGGCCGCCUCGUAGUCACUGCCGCGACGCCUUGAGUCUCCGCGCCGCAUUGCCAUGGCUGCCCGUGGUGUCAUCGCUCCAGUUGGCGAGAGUUCGCGCUACGCUGAGUACUUGCAGCCCUCGGCCAAACGGCCCGACGCCGACGUCGACCAGCAGGGACUGGUAAGAAGUUUGAUAGCUGUAGGACUGGGUGUUGCAGCUCUUGCAUUUGCAGGUCGCUACGCAUUUCGGAUCUGGAAACCUCUAGAACAAGUUAUCACAGAAACUGCAAAGAAGAUUUCAACUCCUAGCUUUUCAUCCUACUAUAAAGGAGGAUUUGAACAGAAAAUGAGUAGGCGAGAAGCUGGUCUUAUUUUAGGUGUAAGCCCAUCUGCUGGCAAGGCUAAGAUUAGAACAGCUCAUAGGAGAGUCAUGAUUUUGAAUCACCCAGAUAAAGCCUUUUUGUAUCUCUCUUGUUGGUUUGUCUCUUCCAAGCAGAAUGCAGUCGUUUUAAGUGUGACAAUUUUAGACUUUUAAUGCCUCAAGAAGCAUUGCAGCUUCAGCUCUUACCUUCUUAGAUCCUUGAGUCCACCAAGUGAAGAAGACUAAGCUCUCCUCCUGACGGAAGAAACACCAAGUAGAGAGAGGCCUAGCUAUCCCAGCUUAGGCCCUAGUGAGGCCAUCCUGGACUACCCAGCUCAGAAUAACCACUCUACCAAUCCACAGAAAAGUGGAUCUCCUUACGUAGCAGCCAAAAUAAAUGAAGCAAAAGACUUGCUAGAAACAACCACCAAACAUUGAUGCUUAAGGACCACACUGAAGGAAAAAAAAAGAGGGGACUUCAAAAAAAAAAAAAAAGCCCUGCAAAAUAUUGUAAAACACGGUCUUCUUAAUUUUCUAUAUGGAUUGACCACAGUCUUAUCUUCCACCAUUAAGCUGUAUAACAAUAAAAUGUUAAUAGUCUUGCUUUUUA